AGAGUUUGAUCCUGGCUCAGAACGAACGCUGGCGGCGUGGCUAAGACAUGCAAGUCAAACGGACUAGUGUAUUUAUAUAUUAGUCAGUGGCGAAAGGGUUAGUAAUGGUUAGGUAACGUACCCCGUGCUUCAGGAUAACGUCUAUUCCGAUUCGUCGAAAUUUCCGAAAGGGGCGGUAAUACUGAAUAACAUCGUGGAUCGAUAGGUCUACGAUCAAAGAUUUAUCGGCGUGGGAGCGGCCUAAUUCCUAUCAGCUUGUUGGUGAGGUAACGGCUCACCAAGGCUUUGACGGGUAGCGGGACUGAGAGGUUGACCCGCAACAUCGGGACUGAGACACUGCCCGGACCUCCACGGAGGGCUGCAGUAACGAAUAUUGGGCAAUGGGCGAAAGCCUGACCCAGCGACGCCGCGUGCGGGAGGAAGUCCUUCGGGAUGUAAACCGCUGUCAGGGCUAAGAAAGUGUGCUUCGGCACAUUGAUCUACCCCAGAGGAAGUCACGCUAACU
rnacentral:rRNA from 1 species